rnacentral:rRNA from 1 species
CCUACGGGAGGCAGCAGUGGGGAAUAUUGCACAAUGGGCGAAACCCUGAUGCAGCGACGCCGCGUGAGUGAAGAAGUAUUUCGGUAUUUAAAGCUCUAUCAGCAGGGGAGAAAAUGACGGUACCUGACUAAGAAGCCCCGGCUAACUACGUGCCAGCAGCCGCGGUAAUACGUCGGGGGCAAGCGUUAUCCGGAUUUACUGGGUGUAAAGUGAGCGUAGACGGCCAGACAAGUCAGAAGUGAAAGCUCAGGGCUCAACCCUGGGACUGCUUUUGAAACUGGCGGGCUGGAGUGCAGGAGAGGUAAGCGGAAUUCCUAGUGUAGCGGUGAAAUGCGUAGAUAUUAGGAGGAACACCAGUGGCGAAGGCGGCUUACUGGACUGUAACUGACGUUGAGGCUCGAAAGCGUGGGGAGCAAACAGGAUUAGAUACCCGAGUAGUC